AUUGAACGCUGGCGGCAGGCCUAACACAUGCAAGUCGAGCGAGCGGCGGACGGGUGAGUAAUGUAUAGGCAUCUGCCUGAUAGAGGGGGAUAACUGCUGACAACGGUUGAUAAUACCGCAUACGGUCAAGUGUAUCUAUAUGGGAUUAGUUAGUGGGUGGGGUAACGGCUCACCUAGGCGACUAUCCCUAGCUGGUCUGAGAGGAUGAUCAGCCACACUGGGACUGAGACACGGCCCAGACUCCUACGGGAGGCAGCAGUGGGGAAUAUUGCACAAUGGGCGCAAGCCUGAUGCAGCCAUGCCGCGUGUAUGAAGAAGGCCUUCGGGUUGUAAAGUACUUUCAGUCGGGAGGCGUUACCGACAGAAGAAGCACCGGCUAACUCCGUGCCAGCAGCCGCGGUAAUAC
rnacentral:rRNA from 1 species